GCGCUCGUAGCUCAAUGGAUAGAGCGCUAGCCUUCGGAGCUAGGCGUUGCGAGUUCGACUCUCGCCGAGCGCG
rnacentral:tRNA from 2 species